rnacentral:rRNA from 1 species
GACAGAGGGUGCAAACGUUGUUCGGAAUUACUGGGCGUAAAGCGCGUGUAGGCGGCCCUGCAAGUCGGAUGUGAAAUCCCACGGCUCAACCGUGGAAGUGCAUUCGAAACUGCAGGGCUAGAGUCCUGGAGAGGAAGGUGGAAUGCUUGGUGUAGAGGUGAAAUUCGUAGAUAUCAAGCGGAACACCGGUGGCGAAGGCGGAUCUCUGGGCCUGUUCUUGACGCUGAGGCGCGAAAGCUAGGGGAGCAAACGGG